CAAUGAGAGUUCUGCAAGAACUGCUAAUUCUUACGCCCCGGAUUUAACCUCCCGGCUCUCAUAUU
rnacentral:tRNA from 1 species